GACGAACGCUGGCGGCGUGCCUAAUACAUGCAAGUAGAACGCUGAAGAGAGGAGCUUACUCUUCUUGGAUGAGUUGCGCACGGGUGAGUAACGCGUAGGUAACCUGCCUUGUAGCGGGGGAUAACUAUUGGAAACGAUAGCUAAUACCGCAUAACAAUGGAUGACACAUGUCAUUUAUUUGAAAGGGGCAAUUGCUCCACUACAAGAUGGACCUGCGUUGUAUUAGCUAGUAGGUGAGGUACUGGCUCACCUAGGCGACGAUACAUAGCCGACCUGAGAGGGUGAUCGGCCACACUGGGACUGAGACACGGCCCAGACGCCUACGGGAGGCAGCAGUAGGGAAUCGUCGGCAAUGGGGGCAACCCUGACCGAGCAACGCCGCGGGAGUGAAGAAGGUUGUCGGAUCGUAAAGCUCUGUUGUAAGUCAAGAACGGGUGUGAGAGUGGAAAGUUCACACUGUGACGGUAGCUGACCAGAAAGGGACGGCUAACUACGUG
rnacentral:rRNA from 1 species